rnacentral:rRNA from 1 species
GAUGAACGCUGGCGGUAUGCCUAACACAUGCAAGUCGAACGGGCUUUUCGGAGCUAGUGGCGGACGGGAGAGCAACGCGUGAGAAUCUGCCUUCAGGAUGGGGAUAACAGGGAGAAAUCGCUGCUAAAACCCAAUGUGCCGAAAGGCGAAAUACUUGUAGCCAGAAGAGGAGGCCGCGUCCGAUUAGUUAGUUGGUGGGGUAAGAGCCUACCAAGUCAGCGAUCGGUAGCGGGUCUGAGAGGAUGGGCAGCCACACUGGGACUGAGACACGGCCCAGACUGCUACGGGAGGCAGCAGUGGGGAAUGGUCCGCAAUGGGCGAAAGCCUGACGGAGCAAUACCGCGUGAGGGAGGAAGGCUUUUGGGUUGUAAACCUCUUUUGUUAAGGAAGAAGAAAGUGACGGUACUUAAAGAAUAAGCAUCGGCUAACUCCGUGCCAGCAGCCGCAGUAAAAC